rnacentral:rRNA from 1 species
CCUACGGGUGGCAGCAGUGGGGAAUAUUGCACAAUGGGGGAAACCCUGAUGCAGCGACGCCGCGUGAGUGAAGAAGUAUUUCGGUACGUAAAGCUCUAUCAGCAGGGAAGAAAAACAGUCCUUUUGACUUUGGCCGGUACCUGACCAAGAAUCCCCGGCUAACUACGUGCCAGCAGCCGCGGUAAUACGUAGGGGGCAAGCGUUAUCCGGAUUUACUGGGUGUAAAGGGAGCGUAGACGGCAGCGCAAGUCUGGAGUGAAAUGCCGGGGGCCCAACCCCGGGACUGCUCUUGGAACUGCGGGGCUGGAGUGCAGGAGGGGCAGGCGGAAUUCCUGGUGUAGCGGUGAAAUGCGUAGAUAUCAGGAGGAACACCGGUGGCGAAGGCGGCCUGCUGGACUGCAACUGACGUUGAGGCCCGAAAGCGUGGGGAGCAAACAGGAUUAGAUACCCGGGUGGUC